GUCGGAUCCGCCCGGCGGCGGCCCGGCGCGUCGCGCUGCAGGACCGUCAGGGCGACGGCGCGCUCAGUCGCGGGCAGAGCGGGAGGGUGGACGCAGGCAAGAGAAUCUCAAGAUGUGAGAUGAGUGUGUUUAAGUUUUCAGCUACCAGACCCUGACCAGGGAGUAUGAAGCGCUGGUGCAGAAUUACCUGCACCUGCUACUGAUCGUGGAGACAAGAAGACAGUGGUCACGCAGCUGCAGCAGCAGAUCAAGGACACAUCCCUGCUCAAGGACAGUGAGCGCAUCCAGUCCACACAGACUGUUACCUCUGACGACGAAGACAGUGACAUCAAGAAAAUUAAGAAGAUCUGCACCAUUCCUCUGGGCUGGCACAAAUGUCCCUUCCCAGCCCUCUUGAGAGAGCCUCCUACGACAGCCCAGUGUUGGCAGUGUCUACCUCCUGUCCCACGGCCGCCAGGGCAUGCUACCUCCCACCUCAGCUCCAAAGACAGAACUGACAGCUUAUUACUCCUGAACAGCACCUUGUCAAGGCAUUUCUUCUGGUUGUCCUUGUGCAGUAGGGGGUUCAGCCGCAUUGUAUAGAUGAGAAAAAUGAGACUCCAGGAGAGGAGGCAGUCGACAGAGGCAGGACGAGAACCCAGGCCAUGAGACUCGCAGCUGAGAGCUCUCCUCAACGCCAGGCAGCCUCAGUAAGACCCCAGAGGCACCUCUCCACUGUCACUCCCGUGCAUGCCCCCCGACCCAGAGGAAGUCAUGCAAACACUUCCUCUCACAAUUGCCCCCUUUAGUCCCCAGCAGACCUCAGCAUGGGAACCCAGCCUUAUAAGACCCCAUAGGUGGCCCCACUGGUUCUGCCUUGUUAGAGUCCAGAAGAGGCAGACGUCUCAGAAGGUACUGGGGAUCUGCCCAGUGGCCGGGUCCUGACCGGCAGUGUGGGCCACCUCGUGGGGGUUGUGGAGGGAGAGAACAUGGUUUGUGUUUGCAGCUUGCCAGACUUGAAGCAGGGGAGCCUGACUCGCCCCAAGAAAACCAGGGAAAACUGCUUGUUUCCUACUCGUUGCGAGGGCAAGAGAACCGCAGUGCCAUUCAAACCAGAAAGUGCAGACUGGCGCCCACAGGCAAGUUCAGCCUACCCGUGUGUUCAGGAUUUUUAGCCUACACGAUGUUUUGGUUUUUUUCUUUUUUAAUUUGUUGCCAGUGCUUUAAAAGCUAAAUAUUUCAUAUAAAUCUGGAUUUCUGAUUUCUUAAAAAUAGAAAUAGCUAACAUUCAUUAUGCAUGUUCUUUGUGCCAGAUACUAUUCUAGGAGCUUCAUGCAGAUUAAUUUGUUCCUAACUAAAAAUCCUCUGAGGUUUCGUUAUUAUCUGCAUUUCACAUAUGAGGAAGCUGAGGUGCGGAGAGGCAAAGUGACUUACCCAGAUCACACAGCUAAGUAUUUGCAGAGUGACAUUUAAACCCUGGCCGCCAAGCUCAGAGCCCACAUCCUUGGUCACUGGGACACACUGCCUUCUGGAAGAGCAGGAGGUCCUGCAGCCCUGGGCCCACCUCCUACACGUGGUGACAGUUGGCAAGGAGGUGUUGCCCCAUUAGUCCCCACCCAUCUGGUUUCAUGCAUCUCUAGGACCUGCCAGGCCCCCAUAGGCACUAGGAUUUGCCACCAGAUCUGAACCAAGCCCCCCAGGCAGGAGUGCCCUGGCUUACCUUCUCUGCUAUGGUCCCACUGGACUUCCCGGUCCAUUUUGAGAAGGCAUUCUGGUUGGAACAUUUUGUUGAGUACCAGCUGAAACCCCUGAGAUCCACCUCCUUCCCUCCAUUUUCACCCUCGUGGAGCCUCAGAGGAAGCCCUUUUCUCAUCAAGAAAGACUUCCUAUCUUCAAAGAGAGCAGUUGGGGCUCAGGUCUGACCUCCCCUCUCCAGGGCAAACACCCCCAGAAGGCAGAGCUGCACCCAGAUGGCUGCACCGCCGUUCAUGGCCAGUGCCCCUUGCAGCUGAUAAGAUUUUGAUGAGCACCUCUACCUGGUCCCUCAGCAGGUGACCCCUGGAUCCCCAGUCCACCCACCCUAGCACCACCCAGUACUCUUACUCCAGGCGCCCCGGGUCCCUCCCUAUGGGGACCCUGAGCUUGCACGCAGCUCAGCAGCAGGAAUGGCAGGGAGCUGGGUGGCAUCUUGAUUGGAAGCACAUGCGUCUUAAAACAGUUAUCUCUGUGUGUGUGAAUCAAGGCCCUUUCCCAAGUUCUUGCCAAAACAAGGCCACACACGCCAAGCAGCCCAACUCCGAAACAAGUCAAGCGUUAGUGUUCAUUUCCCCAUGGAGGCGGGAGGAGAGGCUCUAGGCAGGCGCUGGUACUCAGAGGUGCCGAUGAGGCCCAAGCAUGAGCUUAACUAAUUUGCCAUGUUCUCUUCAAUUUGAUAAUCACCCUCUGUCCAGCGAGCUGUAAUUGAGACUUCUGGGCUUUCAGGCCAGUCAUUAGAUGAGAUGAGGUGUGAGAUGCGCCCUGCACAGCCUGGCCACUCUCUAGCUUCAAGCCACUUCUCAUUAUGGAGACCUGGGGCCACACUUUUCCUCCUUCAGAGAAUGCUUCUAAAGCAACCUGGGGAUCUUGUUAAAAUGCAGAGGUCUGGGGCGGGGCCUGGGACUCGGCAUUUCUAACAGGCUCUCAGGAGAUGCUGAGGCUACCAGUCCAUGGACCACACUUUGAGUCCAGCUGUCGUCCAGAUGUCGGUGCAUAUAUCUCUUCAAAUUAGUGUUUUAGUGUUCUCUGGAUAGCUACCCAGAAGUCAAAUAGCUGGAUCAUAUGGUAGUUCUAUUUUUAAUUUUUUGAGGAAUCUCCAUAAUGUUUUCCAUAGUGGCUGCACCAAUUUAAAUUCCCACCAGCAGGAUACAAGGGUUCCCUUUU